AGCUUUGGCAUCCUGAUUCUACACCAGCCAGCAUGGGAGACAGGAGGGAAAGAGCUUUUUUCCUCCCGACGUGCGCCCAUCACGCUUCAUGGCUGAGCGAUGACUGUCAUGUUGUUCUGCUGCUGCUACAGCUUGUAUACCAACCACUGACUGUUCUCACGACGACACCAUGAAGGGAAACUGUCACGAUUCCCAUUUCACAGGUGACAAAGAGACGUAACAAAGUCAUGGAACUUACCUAAGGUUAAAAGUAGAGUCCAAAUCUGUGAGGAAACACAGAAGCACACUUGGGAGAAGCCAAGGCUUAUGCCUGAACCUUGUUUUUCUGGGGAUGAGCCUUAUCACGGGCGCUGAGGACCCAGCAGGCAACACGACAGGCGAGAUGCCUUUCUUCACAGAAAUGCCUGCCUCAGAGGAGACAGAACUCGUACCCCAGAGGACCAAAUUCCUGCUCUGAUAAAUGUGAAGAGAUGAGGGGAUUGCCUGAUGAAGUGUCGCAACGACACUGGUAGCAAGGACGCUGAUAAGCACAUCUUGGCCAUAACAGAGAAAUGAGCAUGUUCUAUGGCCAGGUGGAUAUUGUGGAUUUGCUUAUUAGGAAAGAAUGAAGAUGCAUUACUUCAUAUAUGGGGAGGGGCUGCCAUUUUCCCCCUUUCACUCAGUAUUAUGUGGUGACAUCUUUCUCUGCAAAUAAAUAUAGAUCUGUAUAAUUUUAAA